rnacentral:rRNA from 1 species
AGAACGAACGCUGGCGGCAUGCCUAACACAUGCAAGUCGAACGAGACCUUCGGGUCUAGUGGCGCACGGGUGCGUAACGCGUGGGAAUCUGCCCUUGGGUUCGGGAUAACAGUUGGAAACGACUGCUAAUACCGGAUGAUGACUUCGGUCCAAAGAUUUAUCGCCCAGGGAUGAGCCCGCGUAGGAUUAGCUAGUUGGUGAGGUAAAGGCUCACCAAGGCGACGAUCCUUAGCUGGUCUGAGAGGAUGAUCAGCCACACUGGGACUGAGACACGGCCCAGACUCCGUACGGGAGGCAGCAGGUGGGGAAUAGUU